CGGAGGAGCUGUGAGCCAGGCAAAUGUUGUUUUUGUGUGCAUGUGUGUGGGAGAGGGUUAUCAAAAAUAAUCAGUUAGUUUUGUAUCAAUUCUGGUACUUUUUACUGCAAAUUUCGUAGUAUUUUCUACAUCUGAAUCAAAUUUCAUGGUGUAUCUAGUAUUGGACACAUGUAAUCUUUAUAAUAAAGUUAGAGCAUGGUAGAAAUGGAUAUUUCUGAGCAGUUGAAUGUUAUUUCGUUAGAUCAAUGCUACUAGGAAAAUAAAAUUUCCUAUUGUAUUUCCUUGUGCGGCAAGAAGAAAGAUUACUCUCAAUGAUUUUUUUUAUUUACAGCAAGUGAUCUCGUUUCACAUUCAUUGCGCAUCGACAAAUAAUACAACACAUAUCUUUUUGCUAAUUAAUAGUUGCUUUUAUCUUUAAUCCAUUUAUGCUUUUGCACUGUAUGCUUUAGUUUUGGUCACCCUAUAAUUAGUGAAGCCACAAGUGUCCUAUUGCUAAUUAGUUUUUGUGUGUGUGUCACUGUAAUUAUUCCUACCUUUCCAUGCUACAAAAUAAUGAUUUAAAUCAGUGAUAUUUUUGUCUGAACCAGUUUCUUUCUUCUGCUCCAAAAAAUAUCACUGUAAUUGUUCCUACCUUCCAUGCUACAAAAUCAUGAUUUAAUUAGCGAUAUUUUUUUAGAUAAGAGAGUGAGAUACAUUUUCAACAGUUAUUAUAUUUUAUAACUUAAUGUGGAUAAAAGUGUUUGCCAAUUUUUUAGAGAGGGUGAGAUGCAUAUUGUUAUCUGCAGGAGUUCAGUAUGACUUUUUGCCCAUUCUAUUCUAAACUGUUUAUACUGUUGGAUGCCCAUUCUAUUUGAUUUGAGUAGAUCUAUUUCCUUAUUUGAUUUGAUUAUAACUGCAAGCAUUUGUUUGUUUUCAAAAAAUUUAAUCAAUUUAUUUUCUAGCUAAGGUAAAUUUCUGGUGAUAUUUACUAUAUUACUUGUUUUACCUCAGUUCUCAGUUCUCAUGUAUAUGCUGAAAACUCAGGUCUGGCCAGCUGAUCUAAAGGUGAGCAGAUCUAGAUAUGCGUGGGUUACGCCAUCAGUCUUAUUUUAGUUGAUUUUUUGUCUAUGUUGCUUUAUGCCCUCUUUUCUAAACUGAGAGAUUUUAAGUAUGAUAUUAAAUUUGAUUUUUUGUGUUUAUGCAUUCUAUCAUGGACACUUAUUCUAACACUCUACACUAGUUAUCAUUUAUUUUUGCUGAAAUUAUAGUAUAUUUUUGCUCUUCGUAAAAGUUGAUGUUUUGGACUUCAAGUACCAGCUUUUGUAUAGCAGUCGAGAUGUUGGUAAUAUCCAUUCAUUUGGGGUGAAUUUUUGUAUUCUCACUCAUGUGUUUCUUAAUUUUUUCCAAGGACCAUCGUCCCCCCCCCCCCCACUAAACUGCGCUGCUAGUUGCAUUCGCAAAGCUCCUGCUACAAUCAUAGCUUUUGCUCAAGAGCCAUCAUCAAGAUGAGCAAUCAGGACACGGAGGUAGCUGUGAUGAUGUCCAAGAUGAGCCUGAAGAAUUAGUUGAAUCUGAGAGUUUACUGUAAUAGAUAGAUGUGAUGUGAUGUCCAAUAUCACAUAUAUCCAACAAACAAAAGGCCCAUAGGGACAACAGAAUUUUUUAAACGGGCCAAAUGUAAAUGUGUCUCACGGUCCAUAGGUACAAUAGAAAAAUGAUGUAAUUUUUAUUGGGCCAAUAGUAAAUAAGACACAGCCAACAGACGCGAUGGACAAGA